GUUCGCUUUGGCAGCACACAUACUAAAAUUGGAAUGAUACAGAGAAGAUUAGCAUGUCCUUUGUGCAAGGAUGACACACAAAUUUGUGAAGCAUUACAUAUUUUU